GACGAACGCUGGAGGCGUGCUUAACACAUGCAAGUCGAACGAUGAAAUGGAGCUUGCUCCAUGGAUUAGUGGCGAACGGGUGAGUAACACGUGAAUAACCUGCCCUUAAUUUUGGAAUAACCCAGGGAAACCUGGGCUAAUACCGGAUAAGUAAACCUGUGGCAUCACAUGGUUUUGGAAAGUUUUUCGAUUAAGGAUGGAUUCGCGGCCCAUCAGCUUGUUGGUGAGGUAAUGGCUCACCAAGGCGACGACGGGUAGCCGGCCUGAGAGGGUGAACGGCCACACUGGGACUGAGACACGGCCCAGACUCCUACGGGAGGCAGCAGUGGGGAAUAUUGCGCAAUGGACGAAAGUCUGACGCAGCGACGCCUCGUGAGGGACGAAGGUCUUCGGAUUGUAAACCUCUUUCAGCAGGGACGAAGCGAAAGUGACGGUACCUGCAGAAGAAGCACCGGCUAACUAUGUGCCAGCCGCCGCCGUAA
rnacentral:rRNA from 1 species